UAACGCGUGAGGAACCUGCCUUCCAGAGGGGGACAACAGUUGGAAACGACUGCUAAUACCGCAUGACACAUGACCGUGGCAUCACGGACAUGUCAAAGAUUUAUCGCUGGAAGAUGGCCUCGCGUCUGAUUAGCUGGUAGGCGGGGUAACGGCCCACCUAGGCGACGAUCAGUAGCCGGACUGAGAGGUUGGCCGGCCACAUUGGGACUGAGACACGGCCCAGACUCCUACGGGAGGCAGCAG
rnacentral:rRNA from 1 species